rnacentral:rRNA from 1 species
AGAGCGAACGCUGGCGGCAGGCUUAACACAUGCAAGUCGAGCGGGCGUAGCAAUACGUCAGCGGCAGACGGGUGAGUAACGCGUGGGAACAUACCUUUUGGUUCGGAACAACACAGGGAAACUUGUGCUAAUACCGGAUAAGCCCUUACGGGGAAAGAUUUAUCGCCGAAAGAUUGGCCCGCGUCUGAUUAGCUAGUUGGUGAGGUAACGGCUCACCAAGGCGACGAUCAGUAGCUGGUCUGAGAGGAUGAUCAGCCACAUUGGGACUGAGACACGGCCCAAACUCCUACGGGAGGCAGCAGUGGGAAUAUUGGACAAUGGGCGCAAGCCUGAUCCAGCCAUGCCGCGUGAGUGAUGAAGGCCCUAGGGUUGUAAAGCUCUUUUGUGCGGGAAGAUAAUGGACGGUACCGCAAGAAUAAGCCCCGGACUAACUUCGCGCCAGCAGCCGC